UCCUUAAGGACCGGGCCUCUCAUUUAUUCACUGCUGUAUCCCCUGCAUCAGAACAGUUCCUGGCACGUAGCAGAUGUUCAAGAAUUAUUUGUCAAUUGAAAGAAUGACUUGAGUUGAAAAACAAUGAAAAGUAGGGGAAACAUGCUGGAGAGGAGUCUAAGCUCCUGCAGCUGGAAGUGGCAGUGUUGCAGUGGAACCCGGACGGCCCAGACUUGAAGAUCCAGCCUUUACCACUACCUGAUACUGCUGUGCAUGACUUUGUGUACUUACGUGGCAGAGGUAUGGGUUUUUGAUGGAUUUGUCUGAAAGGAAGAAUUUCAGAUUAAUUAAAUGGCAAAGCAUA